UGAGUCGGCCAGGCGGCCGCGUCAGGGGCGUCGCUCCUGCCGAGGAACGUCCGGGCUCCGUAGAGCACGGUGGUGGGUAACGCCCACCCGGGGUGACCCGCGGGACAGUGCCACAGAGAACAGACCGCCUCGAGGUGCUCGCACCACGAGGUAAGGGUGAAACGGUGGUGUAAGAGACCACCAGCGCACCGGGUGACCGGUGCGGCUAGGUAAACCCCACCGGGAGCAAGGCCAGACAGGGAGCGUUCGAGGGCUGCUCGCCCGAGCUACCGGGUAGGCCGCUGGAGGCGCACGGCGACGUGCGUCCUAGAUGGAUGGUCGCCACCCGGGCCGCGUCAGCGGCCGGGGGACAGAACCCGGCGUACCGGCCGACUCAUCCG
rnacentral:RNase_P_RNA from 2 species